CCAUCUGUGAUGACUUAACAGCAUGACUUUCGUUCUUCUGAAUCUGCUGAAGCCAAACAAUCUGUGCUGAGUGGG
ensembl:snoRNA small nucleolar RNA SNORD59